rnacentral:lncRNA from 1 species
ACUGAGCUUCUGUGUUAAGCAGGUAGCAGCACACCUACAGGUUCUGGGGCCAGGAAAAUAAACGGAUUAGCACUCCCACCCUGAAAAAACAAACAAAUCUAUAGAUAGAUUCUUAGCUAGGCAGCCAAGAAGAGUCCUAGAUUUUCAUACUACUUUUACCACAUUCCACAACCCCUUUGGGCUAAGUUGACUCCAUACCCGUGUGAAAUGCUCACCAAUUUCUGAUCUCUGUUGAGU